GUUUGCAUGGUCUAAUGGAUAAGGCGCUCGCCUCUGGAGCGAGAGAUUGUGGGUUCAAAUUCCACUGUGAAUG